UGACCAGCACUCUCUUCCAUCCACAUUACCCACAACAGAGAUGCCCUUAAGCAAGGCACAAAACCCCUGAUUGCUCCCGGGUACUGCAACAGAAAUGGCUGCCCACUGCUCCAGUAACCUCCCUGCCCCCUCCAAAACAAGCUUAACCAAAGGCCGGGCAGCUACCUCUGUGCAACCAAACAUCUUCAGUUCCAGCUGAGGCUUCAAAUGAUUAGCAAUCAAGCAACCACCCCUCAAGGCUCGGAUCUGUAGCAAUAAUACCCGGGCAAACCUAAUUACCUAAAGAGAUCAACCUUCCCCCUCUACACACUUCACGCUCCCAUAUCAGGGUGCUACAAUUCAUUACUGCGAACAGCUGCACACAUGCACCGAAGCAAUUAAAACAAUGAGACGCUUUCCUUGAGAAGAUUUCAUCAGUGUGAAGCGACACAUGAAGGUUACUACAUUUAGGCAAGCAAUGUCUGUGCAGACAGAUUUUCAUGAAGAAAUAAAAGGCUUUUUGUUCCU